GCAGCAGAUACUACCAGCAAUAUUAAAGACUUCCCCCGCAAACUCUUUGAGCUGUGAAAUGUUUGACGCUGUACGAGUGUAGCGAAGCGCGUUGCCAGGUGAGCGCCGGUCCUCCCCCUCCUCACUUCUUCAUGUGUUCGAUGUAAGUGUGUCAGCAAGUUCCAGAUGUCAGUUACGCAAUGUCUAAUUACAGAAAGACGAGCGGCUUGAUUUGUCACUUUGAAGGUGUGUGUGUGUGUUUUCUGUGUGUAUACAUAUACUGUAACAAAUUGACAGCAGAAUUUACAGUGAAUAUCUUGCAAAAAGUUGACAUAAAGUAGUGUAAAAAGUGUUGUGAACUUACAGUAUUUAAUAUGAGAGUAAUCUCAAAUCAAUAAACAAAAAUCUACAAAUACUAACAAUUCUCUUCUCCAUGUUUUUUUUUUUUGUAUGAAUGCUAUUUUCUGAUAGUUUUACAGUAAAUUUGUGUUUUAGCAAAGCUCUGCAAGGUAUGUGCCAUCUAAUUAUGCAAGUGCUUAAGAAACCAAACAUGCUUCAGAUCCACGAUACAACAUCACUACUUAAAAAAGCAGUAUUUUACCUUUAAGAUAAAACCAAAUAAUGCAAAUAAAUGAGAUUUUUAUUAUAGUGAAUUGUUCAAGGGCUUUAUAACAGAGUAUUAAGGCCACAUAAAAAGUCAAGAUUUUAGUGAUGCUACGAGAAUAACGUAGGGAAAAAAAUCAGUUUAAAUAUAAGUUAAAUCACAGUUAUGAGGCUAAAGUGAUAGUUAAUUUAAAUACAAAUAUUCUGAGAAUUAUGUCUAUAACAGUUAAGUCUUUAGAGUAAAAAAAAAUAAAAUAAAGUUGCUAGUUAACAAUCAGCCACAUGAUGCUGUUUUGAAGGGUGAUUCUACACUUCUCACUUUUAUGCACAUUGUCUUUUCAGAGUCUUGAUUUCUAGAACAAUGUGGUGCUGAUGUGCUAAAGAAAUUAACUAAACUGCAGUUUAACCAAGAUGCUUCAUGUUCUUAAUUUUUGUGGCCCUGAACUGGUUUAUUGUUUUGAAAUGGGUUUAGUUUGUCUUGCAGUCAGAUUCAAGAUGAAAAUGCUCCCUUGCUCAACCCUGAUCCCUGGGCGGACAAGAAGCCUCGGUGAUGUGUAAUAAGUCUACAGACAAGUUUUGGCCGUUUUUUCCUGUGCAUCAGUGCGGUGUUUAUCACUGUUUUAACAAACCAGGGUCCAAAACGAUAUUUAUUCAAAAUUUCUAAUAUCGCUGUGAUGAGUAAAAGAAGAAGAGAUGGGUCAAGUGGAUCAUUUCAGGGACAUCCUUGAGAGAAUAACAAUAAAAUUUCUCCAAUGAUAGCAGAAAGCUAUGUAAACGUGCUGAAUUUCGGAUAGCAUCAUACAAUCAAAUGAUAGACAAGUGAGUCAUUUCUAAUGUUUGCGUAUUAUCACUUUUUAAUGUUCGGAUCAUUUCCAUCUGACAGAAUUGCUCAGUUUUUAAAGAAAAGUGCUUUUAUUUUAGAGAUUACAUCCUUUCAACAUCCUGUUCGUGUCUCUCAGUCAGUGGAUAGCUGACAUCUUUAAUUUACUGUUAUAGAGGAUUUAAAACUAAAAGUAAAGACUGAAAAACACGAACAUCAACAUAAUCUCCUGAAUGAGGUCAAACCAACAGGAAAUAACAGGCCAGAGGAGAAACCGCUUCAUCUGGGUUCGACUCAGGUGAACAAAGUUUAAUAUCAGAUCACGAUGAUGAAGUGUUAGCAUACCUUCCCUUAGCCUCUCUGUGUCAUGUGAUAAAACAUGACAGAGAUGAACAGAUAGAGCCUAUCUCUUCCUCCCAGCGCCACUUCUCUUUCUAUAAGAUAAUCUGGAGAUAGGCCUGCUAUUCAUUUGUAUGCAGAUGAUAAUCAGCUGUACGUGAGUGAACCGCUGUUCCAGCUGUGACCUUGUUUAAUUAUUGAUCAGCAGAGAACAUAGUUAUGAACAUCAGUGUUUUAUAAAGUGGACAAUAUGUUGAAUAAAUGAAUGUCAGAAAAUCACAAAGCUGGGAAAAGUUAACAAACUGCAGUCGUCAUCUAUAGAUAUUUUUCUGUUACUCACAAAUUAAUGUCAAUAACAACUCUGACGUUUGUGAGUUAGUGGUGCUGCAAACUGUUUAAAACCACUGGCAGUAGCUUAGGAGGUAGAGCGGUCAUCCAACAACUGAAAGGUUGGCAGUUCUAUUCCCCCCUAUCCCUAGUCUGUCUGUUGUUUGUUCUUCCUCUUUGCUCCCAGUGUAUGUUCUUCACUGGUGUGUGAUUUAUAUAUGUCGCUUUGGAUAAAAGCAUCUGCUUAAUGACAUUGUAAUUUUAUUUUCUUUACUGAUGUUCCUCCAUGCUUCUAGUCAUUUUAUGAGUAUCUUAAAAGCUGAAAUGCAUAUGAAAGUCUUUUGAAUAUUCUUUUUUGGUAACGUAUCUUAACAAGACUGUAAAUCUGUCAUAUUCGCCAUCUUAACAUCAUCCUAUCUAAGUAUUUGCUCAGUUUUUGAUUCAGCCUCAAGUGGUCAAUCCUGGAACUGCAGCUGUUUUUCAAAGAUCAACUUCAUCAUUAGAAACCACAGCCGUAGUCAGAGGCAAGAUGAGAGGGAGGGGGGCUGCAAUGCACCAAACACUGCUGGGACUGAUUUAUUAUUACCCAUGUGACCAAAACUUUUUCAGAAAUGAUUUUACCACGCUAAAUGAUUGUUUGUCAUGCUUUUAUUUUGAUAUUUAUGGUCCCGCAAUCAUUUUGCUUUACAUCUUUUUUUUUUAUUUUGAGGUUCACUACUUUUGGUAGAUCAUAAGUUUUGAGAACUAAAUAAAAUAAAAAUAAGUAGAAAUGAUCAGUAACCAUGGAAGUAAAAGCUUUAGCAUUGUUUCCGGAUUCACGAUAAAUCUUAAACAGAAGUUUUAAAAGUGUUGAAUCACCUCUCAGAGCGCAGCUUAUUUAAGACAUAUCAAUAUUUUAUUUCAUGUUUUACGACAGCUGUCCACACUCCUGUCGAAUUGUGACAGCUCUAGCUCACAAUAAACGUUACAUCUCUAAAAUAAGCUUUUUAUGUGUCAUAUCUUACAGUCUUUCUGUCUUUAACCUCUCCUGUCUUUGCUGUCUUUCUUUUUUUUCUCACUGGAUCACUGGAUUGAUUACAGCUUUUGAGGCAGGGCUAUAGAAGUUGUGCUCUCUCGAGAAAUAACUAAUGCUAUGGAGUAACGACCAAUCAGAAUCCAGUAUUUAAUACAGCUUAUGUUAAGUUGCUAAACUAAGGUUGUGAGUGUGUACAGCUUGUUGACCUCGACAUGUUUGUUCUAGCCGAGGUAUAAACUCAUGUUUGAUGGUUUAAUUAGUGACCCUCUCCUCCCUCUUGUCCCUGCUCGGCAGUGAUGAAGAGAUGGACGUUUCCUUUUGUAACCGUGACCUUUAGCUGUGUCAGGUCUGCAAAGAAUAGCUCCGUGUGGACUAUCAUAAAACAAAAACUGACACCAUACAUGUCGUAUAUAUGCGAGAAGAGAAACCUGGCUGCACUUUCUGCAGACUUCUUUUAAACAUGGGUGAAGCAGCGCAGUAAUCAACUACAGGUUGUCAGUGUGGUUAUAAAUACAGCUGUGUGUGCAGUUAUGUUAAAAAAAGGUGUUGUAUUAAUAGAGCACACUGACCCCCACCUCCCUCCUGUCCAACCCCCCACUGCCACAGAAUGACGGAUCGAUUGAAGAGUGACAGCAGUGAGGAAAUAGAGAGAGAUUCAGGAUUUACAUCGUCCUCUGACACGCUCAUAUAAACGCCCCCCAAUGAUAAAGAGACUACACUCUGACAAGGACGCCAGUCCUGCUUUGGCUGCUCUCAAGUUAAAGAUUUGCCAUCUCCCUCUCCUCUUUCCCUCCCUCGCUCCCUCUAUCUCUCUCUUUUAGCAGAUUUCACACAAAGCAUAUAACCUUUGUGAAUUAUUUAGUUUAUUGACCUCUGCGGGGAUUUAAUAUGAAGGUCGUUUCCUGCUGGCAGAGCGAGCGCCGGCGGGGUCCUCAGGUGACAUGGCCAAGGUCGCCCGUCUCCCUCCAGUUAAUAAUAUAUUUGUCACACGCAGCGUGUUCGCCCCCGACACAGCGCUACUGCCUUCCACUUGAUUAGUGCAACCAAUAAGGACUGCCAAAGAUAAUAAAGUAGACAUUGGCUUAAGGAGAUGUGUCAAAUGUCCACAGCAUCUCUCUCUAUCUCCCCCCACACAGAUACUCUGAGCACCAACACACACUCAUACACACACACACAAAUUCACACCCUAUCCCUCCUCCUCCUCCCCCCACCUCCUCCUCCUCCUCCUCUCUGUUCUUGUUUUAUUGUUUCCUAGAUGAAGGUUAAAGGGAGAUGCUGAACAGACAGAACAGCCGGAGGGCUGUGGAGAGCCUGGCUGCAGCAGGCGGUGCUUUGGGUACCAGCAGCGAACAACCUCUGCAGCCCCCUCCGCCCCUCCACAAGGCCACACAGAGCUCUGGUGUGUCAGAGGGGCGAGAGGGUGAGCUGGCCAGAGCCACGGGGGCAAGUGGGUCACAGCAUCUGAUGUACAGGGGGGGCAGUAGAGAGCUGCUGGUCCCUGACCAGGC
rnacentral:lncRNA from 1 species